GGGCUUGUAGCUUAGUUGGAUAGAGUGCAUGGCUACGAACCAUGAGGUCGGGGGUUCGAAUCCCUCCAAGCCCACUA
rnacentral:tRNA from 3 species